rnacentral:rRNA from 1 species
UACGGGGGGGGUAAGCGUUGUUCGGAAUUACUGGGCGUAAAGGGCUCGUAGGCGGCCAACUAAGUCAUACGUGAAAUCCCUCAGCUUAACUGGGGAACUGCGUGUGAUACUGGAUGGCUUGGAUUUGGGAGAGGGAUGCAGAAUUCCAGGUGUAGCGGUGAAAUGCGUAGAUAUCUGGAGGAACACCGGUGGCGAAGGCGGCAUCCUGGACCAAUAUUGACGCUGAGGAGCGAAAGCCAGGGGAGCAAACGGG